rnacentral:lncRNA from 10 species
UGCCAGCCUCUCCUCCCUGCUGAAUGCGCUGGUGAGCAGAGCCUCAAGCCUGCCCUAGCUCACAGGAGCCUCUCAGGUUCCUCGGGUGGAAGAGGCCAGGCACAUUCUCACGCAAAUAUGAAAUAGAAGAAAGGCACUGAAGGAAGCAAACUAGAGGUUCUAAGAGCUUUCCAGCCUGACCUCUUCUGGGGUGGAGGCACAGAGGCUUCUCUGAUGACUGGUGACACAGGAUGGGUGGACAUUGAGGAGAUGAAGAGGGGAAAGGAGCAGCAUUCUAGGCUCGGAGCUUUCUCGGGGCUCUGAAAAGCACAGAAUCAAAGGGUGCAGAAGGCUAGCGUGAUGGGUCACAGGGUCAGGGAGGGGGCUGCGGGUGGGAGGCAGGGACUUUUAGGUUAUGAUCCUAACAUCUCCUUUACGCCCCCAAUACUCACAAUACUGGGUGUUGACUCAGCCUCCAUAGGAGAUAUCACAAUGAGUGAGUGAAAACAGGCUCAGGAAAUCCUCAGAGCUCCCAGGGUGUCUAGACACAGGGAUUCUAUAAUCCUGUCAGGAAAGUGGGUGGGAGAGGGAUUUGCAAAGAAAACCAUUAACAUCACUUCCCCAGGGCGAGGAACUCCAUGUGAGGCUCUGGGGGAACCUGACUAUGUGCAGUCGUUUACAGCCUGGGUCUCCUGGAGCCUAUGAAAUGAGAAGCAGUCAUUAGCACAGCAAGCGGCCCUCAUCCUUCCUUCUCAAUAAUAACACUGUCACCAGAGGAUGGAAAAUUACCCUGACGUCUCUGUAUCUCCAAAUUGCACUUCAGAGACAGACUGCGUAAGGCAAACAGACCCUGAGUGAAAACCUCCUGGCUAGACUUCCAAGCCAAGGCCUAAUAAAUAACCCUGAAAUAUACAAAGUGAUGGCAGCUUUGCUCUGUGGCUCGUGGCUUCUGCCCUGGGAAGGACCAUGAAUUUCAGCGUCUGACAGAUGGGGUCAGAAAGUGGAGUCUGCCUGGUGGGUUGAGGAUCUGCAAAUUAACCCCAUGGUGGUGGUUUCAGAACAAGUGUGCCUGCUCACGCAAAGACUAACCUCUAAGAAAGGAGCAGGCCCGGAGGUGAGGCCCCCUGGGCGUGAAAGAAUCAACCCCAGUCCACAAAGUCCGGAGAUGAGACAUCCUGCCUGGAGGAGGGAGCCCUGUGCAUCGCAGGAUCAAAGAAGCCAAACAGGAUCUUUAGUGGUGACCGAAAAUGCUCAUGAGGAGAAAGGCUGCAUGGCAUUAAGUGAACCCCAUUGAAAGGGUCUCCAUGAGAAUGUUAAAUGACAACAAGAAGAAAUCAAUAUCUCAUCGCUGACGCGGGGCUGGGCAUUCAAGUGAAAUACAAGAUUCAAAGUACUGAUAGAAGGAUGCAAAGAUGUUGAUCUCCUGGGAAGAAAAAAGUUAAAAAAAGGUGACAAAUGCCAAGCUAGAGAGACUCAUCUAAAUAGCUAAUGCAAAUAAAUCCAACAUAGACAGCUAUAGAUGUUGAAGCUUUUUUUUAAAUUAGAUUUCUUCAGGGAUUACUGAUAAGCAUCACAUCAAAAAAGAUGAUCAAGAAUAAAUUGGUUCUCAAGCAAUGCCUGCAAAAAAAUUGUGAUGUGAAAAUAAACAAAAUAUUCCUAAUGUGAAUAAUUUAAAAAUAUAAACAACUUUGGAAAUAGGAAAUUUACAGAGUUUACUACAAAAUCUGUAUCCUAGAAGAGGUAUUGCAUUUAGAGGUAGGAGGCUGCAUAUAGGAAACCAAUAAUUGUUAGCAUUUAUCAAGUAUUAGUUAUAUGCCAGGUACAUAACUAAUAAGUGACUUUUUGUAAGUAGGUGGGAUUUUUGUGAACACUCA